CAGUAGCCGCGGUAACACGAAGGGGGCUAGCGUUGUUCGGAAUUACUGGGCGUAAAGCGUGCGUAGGCGGUUCGUUAAGUCUGUUGUGAAAGCCCCGGGCUCAACCUGGGAAUGGCAAUGGAUACUGGCGAGCUAGAGUGUGUCAGAGGAUGGUGGAAUUCCCGGUGUAGCGGUGAAAUGCGUAGAGAUCGGGAGGAACAUCAGUGGCGAAGGCGGCCAUCUGGGACAACACUGACGCUGAGGCACGAAAGCGUGAGGAGCAAACAGGAUUAGAUACCCGCGUAGUCCCUGUCUCUUAUAC
rnacentral:rRNA from 1 species